rnacentral:rRNA from 1 species
UACGUAGGGGGCAAGCGUUGUCCGGAAUUAUUGGGCGUAAAGGGCUCGUAGGCGGUCUGUCGCGUCGGGAGUGAAAACUUACAGCUCAACUGUGAGCGUGCUUCCGAUACGGGCAGACUUGAGGUAUUCAGGGGAGAACGGAAUUCCUGGUGUAGCGGUGAAAUGCGCAGAUAUCAGGAGGAACACCGGUGGCGAAGGCGGUUCUCUGGGAAUAUCCUGACGCUGAGGAGCGAAAGUGUGGGGAGCGAACAGG